rnacentral:rRNA from 1 species
CCUGCCAGAAGUUAUAUGCUUGUUUCAAGGAUUAAGCCAUGCAUGUCUAAGAAUAAAGUAAUCUAAGCUGAAUCUGCGUACGGCUCAUUAAACCAGCAAUGAUCUACCCUGGAAAGUGAGGCUUCGGCCUUGCCAUUCGGAUAUCCACUCGAAACGGGUGGUUAAUACGUGGAAGAAAAGAGCCGCCUCCAUUCAACCAGUGCUAGGGGAAACCCGAGCUGGGGAGGCGGUUUGGUGUGGACCGAAACAAAAACCGACGCCCGCAAGGGCAGUUUCAUUACAUCGGUGAAUCAGGUCCACUUAUUACCUAAAGCGCAGUUCACUGCGCGUUCCAGGACGAACUUCUGCCCUAUCAGCUAUGAUGGUUGUGUAGUGGACAACCAUGGCGGUCACGGGUAACGGAGAAUCAGGGUUCGAUUCCGGAGAGUGAGCCUGAGAGACGGCUAACACAACUAAGGUUGGCAGCAGGCGCGCAAAUUACCCAAUGUCAACACUGACGAGGUAGCGACGAAAAAUAGGAUUUCCGCGGGUCUCUGACCCGUGGAGAUUCCAAUGAAUGGUACUUAAACCCACCACUGAGUAACGAUUGGAGGGCAAGUCUGGUGCCAGCAGCCGCGGUAAUUCCAGCUCCAAGAGCGUAUGCUAAUGCUGUUGCUGUUAAAAAGCUCGUAGUUGGAUUCUGAGUUGAAGGUUGCACUACGGGACCACAAGUUCCCAUAAAGAGGCGUCCGCGAUUGUUACUGUGAACAAAACAGCGUGUUCAAAGCAUCCGUUUGGCUGAAUGAUCUAGCAUGGAAUAACAAGGGAUCGACCCUUUUGGUCUUCUUUUUGUCGGUUUUGAUUUCCCCAAGGGGCAAUCAAGGGCGGAGUAACCAUCUGGCCUCUUGUUGCGCUGGCUUCGGCCACGUGCUCAGGAACCAAAUGGUCUCCGUUCCGUCGGUAUUAAUAGGAGCAAGCGGGGUGGUACGUAUUGCUGCGUUAGUGGUGAAAUACUUAGACCGCAGCAGGACGAACAACAGCGAAGGC